rnacentral:rRNA from 1 species
CGAGACGUUUCAGCUUGCUGGAACUAGUAAAGUGGCGCACGGGUGAGUAACGCGUGGGUAAUCUACCUCCGAAUUGGGGAUAACAUUGCGAAAGCGAUGCUAAUACCGGAUAACAUCUCAAUUACUUCGGUGUUUGAGAUCAAAGGUGGCCUCUCCUUGGAAGCUAUUGUUUGGAGAUGAGCCCGCGUACCAUUAGCUUGUUGGUAGGGUAAUGGCCUACCAAGGCUACGAUGGUUAGCUGGUCUGAGAGGAU